rnacentral:sRNA from 1 species
AGCAGCCGCGGUAAUUCCAGCUCCAAUAGCGUAUAUUAAAGUUGUUGCAGUUAAAAAGCUCGUAGUUGAAUUUCGGGGUUAGUAGGCUGGUCGUGCCACAGGUAUGUACUGGUCUUACUGACUUCUCCUUUCUGGAGAACUGUAAUGCCAUUAAUUUGGUGUUGCAGGGAAUCAGGACUGUUACUUUGAAAAAUUAGAGUGUUUAAAGCAGGCUAACGCUUGAAUACAUUAGCAUGGAAUAAUGAAAUAGGACGUUCGAUCCUAUUUUGUUGGUUUCUAGGAUUGACGUAAUGAUUAAUAGGGAUAGUUGGGGGCAUUAGUAUUCAAUUGUCAGAGGUGAAAUUCUUGGAUUUAUUGAAGACUAACUACUGCGAAAGCAUUUGCCAAGGAUGUUUUCAUUAAUCAAGAACGAAAGUUAGGGGAUCGAAGACGAUCAGAUACCGUCGUAGUCUUAACCAUAAACUAUGCCGACUAGGGAUCGGAUGAUGUUAAUUUUUAAUGACUCAUUCGGCGCCUUAC